AAAUUAUCUAAAGCCAAUUCAGGUUAGGUACAAUUUUCAUCUCAGUUACUCUGAAUCUGUUUUCAAAGGUUUUUGUUUUGUUUUGCCUCAGAUGUUGGUAAAGUAUUUAGAUUUUGUGAGGCCUGCUUGUAUGGUGCAGUUUUUUUUUAUCCAUGUUAGCUUUGAAUCAUUGCUUUCAUUAUCAUGAAGUUGUAUGUCAUCAAAUUGUGAUGCUCAUUUCUCGUGGAACCCUAAUUGUAUAUAGAUCAUUCCCUGUUAAGAAUUAGACUUUCUAGUUAUUAAAUGUUUCAAAAGCUGGUAUUCUCUGGCAAUGCUAUACUCAGAUUGUAAGUCACAAAAGACAUUAAACUAUGAUAAUGUGGUGAAAUAACUGACAUUUGCUGAUUCUUGUGUUGUUAAAAAUUUUGUUUUGUCCAAAUAUGAAAGAAUACGAGAGUACUAGUAACAUUAUGUCCGUAAGCUCAUUGAGGCCCGUGCUUGUGUAACUGUAUAUAGAUUCAAAUAGUAAUACGUGUGUGUGUGUGUGGUUAAAAAACCAAAAUCCAAGAACCUAUUGAUAAAGUUCUUUGUUUAAUUUUAGUAAAGCUCAUAAUGGGAGCAAAAACAAAUUACUGUUCUAAUUGAAAUUAAUAAGUAUUAAUAUUUUAAUUGGAUAAAAGUAUCUAGUACAUAACUUGUAGCCAUAUUUAUUGUAAAUAUUAUAAUGCAUUUUUACAUUCAAACAUAUCCACCCCGACCAGUAAAGUUACUUAAUUUUAGUCUGCAUCAAUCCCUUCCUUUGGAAAGAUAUUAAAUGUAAUACUUAGAAAUAAAUGACCUUAUAACACCAAAAUGUUGUUAUUAUUUAAUUAGACACUCGCCAUUUCACUUUGCAGCUUCUUCAUGAGCAUUCAUUAAAACACAAACCGAAACUGACAGUAUAUAAUACAUUAUAUUCGAAUCUAUAACUUGCAAUUGUACAGAAUGCUUUUGACAUAUUAAGUAGCAAAGCUUAUUGUUGAAAGAUGUCAAUGACCCACACAUUGAGGUGUAAAAAAAGCUUUGUACGGUACGGGUAACUUUUAACCAUUCUCUUGCUGAAACUUUAUGUACACCUGUUCAACAAUAGGCUUUACUACAUAAUAUGUCAAGAGCACGCUGUACAAAUGCACGUUAUAGAUUCGAAUAUAAUGUAUUAUGUACUGUCAGUUUUGGUUUGUGUUUUAACGAACGCUCCUUGUAGAAGCUGUAAAGUGAAAUGUUGAGUGUCUAAUUAAAUAAAAACAACAUUUUGGUAUUGUAAGGUCAUAUUCCUAGUAUUAAUAUAUCUUCUAUACACCAAUAUGAACUACAGAAAUUAAAUGACGUAUUAAAUGUACAGAAAAAUAAUUGACAACAUUAAAAUAAUAAUCAUCAAAGAGGAUUAUUUACCUUUCACAAAUAGUUUUACAAAAAUUAAAACAUUUCGUUAACCAAAAUACUACAUAGAAAGUGAAACAGAAGUACAAAAUUUGAUGAAUCCUAAAAAUAAGUUUGGUGAAAAUUAGUUUAAAACGUUGAAAGUAAACAUAGUUUAAUGGAAUGUAGAUAGUUAUUUGGGUUGUUGGUUCAUGUCCCAUUGCUACAAGAUAAAAAUUGUACUUUUGGGGGGCAUGGGUACACUACAAGGAUGGUGCUUAAAUCCCACAAUUUGGUUAGAGCAAUCCCAACUUUUGGUGGUGGAUGCUUUGAGUAGGUGCUUUCCCUGUAUAAUUUCAAAAUCCGUUAUUACUAGUACACAUAGCCUUUGUGAAAGUGCUCCGAUAUCUGAAACAAACUUAUUUACACGUUGGGUUAAUGACUUAUUUUUCUUAAUUACACUUUGCUUCCUCUCUCCUCAGUAUUUCCUUGAUGAAAUAAAAUUACUCUUCACACUUAGAUACAUCUGUAAACGUUUCAGUUAGGAACUGAGAGCUAAAUACAUGUAUACAAAUUUAAGUAUAACCAGAUUCUAUGGGCUUCAGUAGAAUGUUUUACACUAGUUCCACUUAUGUGUCAAAGAAAUUUAAAGCUCUAGUUUUUGGUAUAGUUUGGUAUAUAUAUAUACACUUUAUUAUGACUGUUUUCAUUAUAAAAAAAAAGUUUAAUUGUUUAAGCCAGCUUUUCACCUAGCUAGAAAGCUCUGUUUUGCUUCAUCUUUUAAAACCUAUCAUGAUUUUACAUCAGGUUUAAACUGUCCAAUCAUGAUUAAGUGAAGAAUGCAGCAUUGAUCAGUAUCAGGUCUGAGUACAGAGAGUCAUCACAGAGUUGAAUAUACCUUCACUUGGGGUGGCUAUUCAGAGCAUAUUUGGGUUUUCAAUUCUGAUAAAACGUCACAUUAAUAACCCUUGUAUUUGGUCUUCAGCUGAUUAUGAUACGAGUAGGUGGGUAUCUUAUUGAAUAGGCUCUGAACGUAUCCGUGCACGUAUAUAUAUUACAAAUUUGCAUCGUCUUCUGUACCCGUUUUUUUAUAUUUCAGGUAACUUGUGCUGCGUGGCCUCGUGUAUAAAAUCAACAGUAGAUUUUAAUGUGUAGGAUAGACGUUAAUAAUAUCGGUUUUGUGUUAAGUCAAACACAGUGGUUAUUAAUACACAUUUCCUUUAUCCAUUUGCUACAUAAAUUAGGUUUAUUGUUCUCUGAAACUCCAAGAAAUGUUCAACAUUCUUUCAGCCAAGAAGGACCUUUACUUUGAUAAGCUGACCAUAGUUCUCAAUUUGGAAAGUUAUUAAAAUUUUCAGAGGAGAAACUGGCAAACAGCCAAAGUGUAACGUAAUUACAGAAAAUCCCACCUAUUCAGCCAGAUGCACAAAGUUUUUCUGUGUUACCUUCUAGAAUCUUCAGAAAUAUCGUUUUUCCAUUCUUAAAAAUUCGUCCCAUACAACGUGCAAUUCAGCAUUAAAGAAACGUACGUUUGUUUCAUAAGGCUUCUUAACAAUCAUUUAUUAAAGAUUAAAUAGUUUGAUCUAGUUUACCUAUUUAUGAGUUAGUAUCUCGCAUUCUAUUUUUCAAAUGGAAGGGUUCGUUCUUUGGUGAUUUAAGAUAACUGAGUUUUUUUCCCCCCUUUUCACUGGUAUCUCUCCUUAAACAUUUUUUUUUUAUAUAUAUUCUGCCGCGUGUUUCGUUUGAAAAUCAUUUUACUUAAAAUAGCAUCUUAGUAGAGUGAUCGUUGUUAUAGGUGUUAUUCUGAAACGUGUUUUGCCUCAAAUACUUGUUUGUAUGACGUGGUGACUUGUGGUCCGUUAACUAUUUAACGUGACUAUUUUAAUUUAGCACAGAAUUUGUGAAGGAGAAAACAACGCCUGGUAUGAACAGUAGCUGUACCCUUAUUUUGUCCAUGCUGGUACAUGUGACCUUUAAAAGAAAUUUUCUUGUACAGGAAAGAUAGCGAAAGAACUGUAAAUGUCUAGAAAUCGGUUGUUUUCAUAAUUAUCGUGGGUCAAAAAAUUGUAUUUAUGUAUGUUUUCUUAAACGCGUCUUUAAAACUGAGCUAAUCAUUUGAAUGUUGGUUUUAUAUCACAUUUGAUCUGUUUUUAGCAGGUACUAUAUAUUCCUCACGUGUAUGUUGAGUUGCUAGUUUUAAGUUUUUUUUUUUUACUUUUUGAUCCUUGAUUUAUUGUUCAUUUUCACUUACGUGUAAAAAUUGUUCUGUUUGAUUGUCAAAUGCAUAGUCGUGUAUAGAAUUGUGGUGUUGAUAUCAAGAAGUGAAAAAUACCUUUGGAUUGAGUGGAUUUUUCUUCUUUUUUUAUGUAAAAAUAAAGACAAAUUAUUACCAA